rnacentral:rRNA from 1 species
UAGGGAAUCUUCGGCAAUGGACGAAAGUCUGACCGAGCAACGCCGCGCGAGUGAAGAAGGUUUUCGGAUCGUAAAACUCUGUUGUUAGAGAAGAACAAGGACGUUAGUAACUGAACGUCCCCUGACGGUAUCUAACCAGAAAGCCACGGCUAACUACGUGCCAGCAGCCGCGGUAAUACGUAGGUGGCAAGCGUUGUCCGGAUUUAUUGGGCGUAAAGCGAGCGCAGGCGGUUUCUUAAGUCUGAUGUGAAAGCCCCCGGCUCAACCGGGGAGGGUCAUUGGAAACUGGGAGACUGGAGUGCAGAAGAGGAGAGUGGAAUUCCAUGUGUAGCGGUGAAAUGCGUAGAUAUAUGGAGGAACACCAGUGGCGAAGGCGGCUCUCUGGUCUGUAACUGACGCUGAGGCUCGAAAGCGUGGGGAGCAAACAGG